GGACGAACGCUGGCGGCGUGCUUAACACAUGCAAGUCGAGCGGUAAGGCCCUUUCGGGGGUACACGAGGCGGCGAACGGGUGAGUAACACGUGGGUGACCUGCCCUCAGCUCUGGGAUAAGCCUGGGAAACCGGGUCUAAUACCGGAUAUGACUCCAUGACGCAUGUUGUGGGGUAGGAAAGCCUUGUGGCGGCUGAGGAUGGGCCCGCGGCCUAUCAGCUUGUUGGUGGGGUGAUGGCCUACCAAGGGCGACGACGGGUAGCCGGCCUGAGAGGGCGACCGG
rnacentral:rRNA from 1 species